GACGAACGCUGGCGGCGUGCCUAAUACAUGCAAGUCGAACGCAGUGGGGACGGGUGAGUAACACGUGGGUAACCUCCCAUCAGAGGGGAUAACACUUGGAAACAGGUGCUAAACCGAUAUUGGUGGCUGGAACCGCGGUGGAUUCGCUAGUGGGGGAGGUAACGGCUCACCAGGGCCACGAUGCAUAGCCGACCUGAGAGGGUGAUCAGCCACACUGGGACUGAGACACGGCCCAGACUCCUACGGGAGGCAGCAGUAGGGAAUCUUGGGCAAUGGCCGAAAGUCUGACCGAGCAACGCCGCGUGAGUGAAGAAGGUUUUCGGAUCGUAAAGCUCUGUUGGUAGAGAGGCGGUAUCUAACCAGAAAGCCACGGCUAACUACGUGCCAGCAGCCGCGGUAAUAC
rnacentral:rRNA from 1 species